GCCGGGCGCUAUGGCGUUCUGUGCUCCCCCGGCCUACUUAACCCACCGGCAGAAGGUGCUGCGGCUGUAUAAGCGCGCGCUGCGCCACCUCGAGUCAUGGUGUGUCCACAGAGAUGAUUAUGUGGAGCGGCGCGACCAGGACACAGCGUAGAAGGAUGCAUGAAGAAAUAAAAAAUACCCAGGACUGUCAUUGUCAUGAAUCUAACGCUAAUGUUUUUAUAACUCUUGUCCCUAACCUUAACAGUAAUUUGUCCAUGAUCUUUAGUUUGCAGAUUAAC
rnacentral:lncRNA from 1 species